GACGAACGCUGGCGGCGUGCCUAAUACAUGCAAGUAGAACGCUGAAGGAGGAGCUUGCUCUUCUGGAUGAGUUGCGAACGGGUGAGUAACGCGUAGGGAACCUGCCUGGUAGCGGGGGAGAACUCUUGGAAACGAGAGCUAAUACCGCAUAAGAGUAGAUGUUGCAUGACAUUUACUUAAAAGAUGCAAUUGCAUCACUACCAGAUGGACCUGCGUUGUAUUAGCUAGAUGGUGUGGUAACGGCUUACCAAGGCGACGAUACAUAGCCGACCUGAGAGGGGGAUCGGCCACACUGGGACUGAGACACGGCCCAGACUCCUACGGGAGGCAGCAGUAGGGAAUCUUCGGCAAUGGACGGAAGUCUGACCGAGCAACGCCGCGUGAGUGAAGAAGGUUUUCGGAUCGUAAAGCUCUGUUGUAAGAGAAGAACGAGUGUGAGAGUGGAAAGUUCACACUGUGACGGUAGCUUACCAGAAAGGGACGGCUAACUACGUG
rnacentral:rRNA from 1 species